AAGGAGGGUGCAAGCGUUAUUCGGAUUUAUUGGGCGUAAAGGGCGCGUAGGCGGCUUUUUAAGUCAGAUGUGAAAUCCCGGGGCUUAACCUCGGAAGUGCAUUUGAAACUGGGAAGCUCGAGUAUGGGAGAGGGAAACGGAAUUCCUGGUCUCGCGGUGAAAUGCGUAGAUAUCAGGAGGAACACCGGUGGCGAAAGCGGUUUCCCGGACCAAUACUGACGCUGAGGCGCGUAGGCGAGGGGAUCACACAU
rnacentral:rRNA from 1 species